UUAGAGGGUGUCGAUUCUGGUAUGCAACAGCCUUCAACAAGAUGUUGGUGUGUGCAGCAGGUCUUCAGCACCGUCCUGGAGGGUGAACUCCUGCAGUCGUCCGUCUCCUGCUCCAGAAGCGGCACUUCCCAACCUCCGCACCCUUCCCCAGGAGCCACUGUGCUCCUACCCCCAACAGAAGCAGCACUGCCGGGCCCCAAGAGAGGGGUGGAGCACUUGCAGGGGUGGAUCGCUGGUGGUGGACCUGUGGACUCAUGGGGUGUGUGGUGUCGUUUCUGAGGUCGAUGCGUUCUUACCAUGGAUCGCACCUCACCCCACGACAGUUGGAACGACAGCGUCGCCAGCGAUCUCAAACCUCACAGAGCCGCCCUACGCGCCCUCCCACGCCCCCAAGCUCUCCUGAGGAGGAUGAGCGCCGCGCCCUCAGCUUCGACGGUGGUUAUGCCUCCUACAGCAACGCGCCCGUCCCAGCACCCACGCCCACGCCCAAGACUAAGGUGCCCACGCCCAAGACCACUCCCGCACCCAAACCCAAGGCACCCAAACUGUUCAAGAGUAAGAGAUAAGGUUAUGUUCAUAAGGAAGCGCUAAAUCCGUUGGAGUCGUACAACACUAUGGGAAUAGAUAAUGCGUGGGUAAGGGAGUAAAUUCUUGGCCUUCUGUAGAAGGCCAGUAGGCCUUCUACAGUGUUCCUCCAUUCUUAUGUUUUUAUGUUUGGUCCAAGAAAGGAGAUGAUAACCCCCCUUCCUUCGAUCAAUGCAUCCCCCUUCUCCCUUGAAGGGAAGUUUUUUUAAUCGGGAGAGCAUUAAACACACAGGGGUCAUAUAGUGCGUGGAAAACGGCAAACAAUCAGAUUAGAUGCAACAAAUGGGAGGAUAAAUCCAGUUUCUUGAAUCAAGAGCCCCUCACUGAAGGAUAGAUAAGGAAAAUCAGUCGAUUGUUCUCCACAAAUUCACUUGACAGGUUAAAAACUGUUGUCCAACUUCAGAUCAUUAAAAAUGCCAGACCAAACAUUAUACCUCAACCCCAGUAUACCAACCGCAAGUCAACGAACACCCAGGUACACGCUUACUGCCCACAACACUCAACAAACACCCGGGUAUCUACUUACUGCCUACAACACUCAACAAACACCCGGGUAUCUACUUGCUGCCCACUACACUCAACAAACACCUAGGUUCCUACUUUCUGCCCACAACACUCAACAAACACCCGGGUAUCUACUUACUGCCUACAACACUCAACAAACACCCGGGUAUCUACUUGCUGCCCACAACACUCAACAAACACCUAGGUUCCUACUUUCUGCCCACAAUACUCAACAAACAUCCGGGAAUCUACUUGCUGUCCACAACACUCAACAAACACCUAGGUUCCUACUUGCUGCCCACAACAGUCAUCAAAUACCCAGGUACCUACUUACCGCCCACAACAGUCAACAAAUACCCAGGUACCUACUUACCGCCCACAACAGUCGACAAAUACCCAGGUGCCUACUUACUGCUCACAACAGCCGACAAACACCCAGGUACCUAAUUACCGCCCACAACACUCAACAAACACCCAGGUACCUACUUACCGCCCACAACACUCAACAAACACCCAGGUACCUACUUACCGCCCACAGCAAGAUAGAUUAUAACUGAAAAAUAAAUGAUAUUAGGAGACAGGGAAACUCACGCGCCUCUUAAUACUGUUACACAAAUUAUCUUACAUAGUAACAUAUAUGCAAAUUACCUAGGAUAACUUAACACAUUAUUACACUCAAAACAAGCGCUAAAACCGAGCACGUCACUGCUACACAAACAUGUAUCUUGUAAAAGUUCAACAAGAACUGAAAAAAAAAAAAACGGGCCUUUGGGCUUAAGAAGCUUCUUAUUUUGAUUAUGGCUGAAUGAGGUGCAAACAAUGUAGGGCAUCGAUGCGGACAUUUUAUUUUUUGAAUGCAUCUUAUAUAUAUUUUAUACUCAGUUGCUUUCUCUGAUAAUCUAUUCCACGUAUUUAGCAAUCUAUUUGAUAAAAUAUUUCACUUCAAAGAUCUGAAAAAAAAUGUUUGCCUAUUAUAUUACAUUCCUAGUUGUGUUAUGCAUUUAAUGACACUGUAAUUAUUUUUGAGAAGCAGCCUGGCAGAAUUACCAUAACUCUCAGACUGAAAUUCGAAUGAUCUACCAAUAAAUCUUG